CGCGGACUGAAAAUAGGAGUAUUUCUACUCCUAGAAUUGAUGUAACUAUGAAGGCUUCCUCGAGUCUUGUAGGCUUGCCUACCAGGCUCGUGCAUGGUGGUCACGGACCACCGGAUUUGGGUCAUGACGCAGAUGAAAUGUUGUGCAAAAUUGACGUGAUGAAAGCUUAGAGAGCUUACGCUUUAGCAUCGAGAUAAAUAGACACAAAGGAUUGGUGACUAGCGUUGUCAUUUAGACAAACAUGCAAUUUUGAUAGCUGUAUGUUUUUCGCUAAUGAAUACUUUACUGCGUCACACUCUAAGUAAUAGUUUAUGUAUGCUUCCACUAUGUAUAUAAAGUAUGCGAUAUAAGAAAUAUGACGUCACGAGGUUGCCUUAUGUUCUGUAACGAGAUGUCUAAUGACUUAGUGAAUUAGCCAAUGUAUGGCAAUGUGUAUGUUGUGUUUAAGUACUGAACGUUAUUAGGAGUUGAGAGGCUAAUGUUGAAUGCUAAAAGAUUUAAGUUUAAUGAAAUGAUGAUGGCUAUGAAGCCUUAUGAUUA